rnacentral:rRNA from 1 species
CCUACGGGUGGCUGCAGUGGGGAAUAUUGGACAAUGGGCGAAAGCCUGAUCCAGCCAUGCCGCGUGUGUGAAGAAGGCCUUCGGGUUGUAAAGCACUUUCAGUGGGGAAGAAAGCCUUGGGGCUAAUACCCUCGAGGAAGGACAUCACCCACAGAAGAAGCACCGGCUAACUCCGUGCCAGCAGCCGCGGUAAUACGGAGGGUGCGAGCGUUAAUCGGAAUUACUGGGCGUAAAGCGCGCGUAGGCGGUCUGAUAAGCCGGUUGUGAAAGCCCCGGGCUCAACCUGGGAACGGCAUCCGGAACGGUCAGGCUAGAGGGCAGGAGAGGAAGGUAGAAUUCACGGUGUAGCGGUGAAAUGCGUAGAGAUCGGGAGGAAUACCAGUGGCGAAGGCGGCCUUCUGGACUGACACUGACGCUGAGGUGCGAAAGCGUGGGUAGCAAACAGGAUUAGAUACCCUGGUAGUC